rnacentral:rRNA from 1 species
AACGAACGCUGGCGGCAGGCCUAACACAUGCAAGUCGAACGAGAAGCAGGAGCUUGCUCCUGUGGAAAGUGGCUGACGGGUGAGUAACGCGUGGGAACCUACCUAGUAGUACGGAACAACAGUUGGAAACGACUGCUAAUGCCGUAUACGCCCUUCGGGGGAAAGAUUUAUCGCUAUUAGAUGGGCCCGCGUUGGAUUAGCUUGUUGGUGAGGUAACGGCUCACCAAGGCGACGAUCCAUAGCUGGUCUGAGAGGAUGAUCAGCCACACUGGGACUUAGACACGGCCCAG